rnacentral:lncRNA from 1 species
UUAAAGACAAAAAUCAACCCCCAAACCCUAAUCUCUUCACAACAGCCCUCACCCCUCUUCUCCCAUCUCUCCUCUUUCUCUCUCUAUCUCCCUCAUUUCUCAAAAACCCUACGAUAAAAUCAUCAACGCUGCCUUUCCCAUCACCGGUCAUCCCUCUCCUCCACUAGUGCCUCCUCUGUUGCCCUUUCCUUGCUAGCACCACCGCUGCACCAGCCAUGGUCGCCGACCUCACCUCCACUGCCAGCCACUGGCGAAGCCACCCCUCCAGCCGCCGCGUCGUCAUCUCCACCAUCCACCGCCAACAGCCUGCCCCACGCCGCCGAAACAGAUCCAAGACCCCGACCGAACUAGCCCCAUCGUCAACCCCUCUCCCUCUCCGUCAGGUUCUUUGAGUUCAACUGAAUUUGUUACUUUUUACUUAUACUAUAUAUACAUAUGCAAAACAAAAUAUGUGAAAAAUAUUUGUACAUAUAGUAAGAUUUCAAGCAUUUUGAACCUACUGACUAGAUCCUGAAUUCGGAAGUAUAAAAGAUAAUCUGAAGGCUUACCUUUACGUGCAGUGGUAAAAGAAUAAGUAGAUGGGUCAAUUUCAUUUUUAAAAAGGAAUAAAACUUUAUUAUAAAAUAGUAAUGAAACAAUGAUGAGGUGGGGCAAUGAGAGAAGUAGCUUUAUUACCUCUUAAGGUGUACCCAGGGGAAGAAACAGUACUAGAAAUGGGAAUAUUUGAUCUAAAAGAUUUUGCAUCUUCUCUGAAACUUCUAAUAUAAGAAGAUGAAAAUAUUCUUGAAUUUGUGUUUUCUCUGCUAAUUUUAGCCUUAAGACCCAUUCUCUAAGGUUAAAAUCUCUAUCAUCUUGCUUUCUUGAAUUUCCAAUAGGUGAAUGCGCCAUGCUAGUUUCAAGUUUCAUUAUGGUUUUGACUUAAAUAAGUUGUUCACUUUUUUAAAUAGAAGGGAAAAUAAGGAGGAUAUAUAAAUUUCAAAAGAAAUUGGUACAUGGUAUAUGCACUUAAAUAUUAAAUACAUUAUAGGGUACAAAUAUUGUGAGAUUUAAGAAACUAGAAGAAGAUUAAGCCUUAAAAUUAGACUUGGAAUUUAAAAGAAUACAUGAGUUUUGGCCUAUAAAUUGUGUUUAAGGUAGAAAGUUGAUUAUAGAGUUGGAUUCCUUUACUUAUAAAUAAUAUACAUUUGAUAGAUCGUGAAAGUUCUGGGGCGUGGAAGAAAGGAAAGGCUUUUGCGAAUUAGCUUGCUUAUCUUGGAUUCUUCGGUUGAGGUAGGUUAGGGUUUAAUUGAAAAAGUGAAGUGAGUUAGUGAGUCAAAAUUUUUUUAAGUGUAGUUAUUUGAAAGGUGAACUUGUGUUUUGAAUAUAGUUAAGUGUGGUCACUUGAGAAGUGAGUUAGUGAGUCAAAAAUGUGUAAGUGUAGGUACUUAAAAUGUGGACUUGUGUUUUCAAUAUAGUUAAGUGUGGUCACUUGAGAAGUGAGUUAGUGAGUCAAAAAUGUGUAAGUGUAGGUACUUAAAAUGUGGACUUGUGUUUUCAAUAUAGUUAAGUGUGGUCACUUAAGAAAUGAAUUAGUGACUUAAAAAUGUUUUAGUGUAGGUACUUGAAAUGUGAACUUGUGUUUUAAAUUUAAUUAAUUGUGGUCACUCUUGAGAAGUGCAUUAGUGAGUCGAAAAUGUAUAAGUGUAGUUACUUGAAAGGUGAACUUGUAUUUUGAAUAUAGUUAAGUGUGGUCACUUGAGAAGUGAGUUAGUGACUUCAAAAUGUUUAAGCGUAGGUAACUUGUGAAGUGAAUUAGUGACUUAGAAAUAUGAACUUUUCAUUUUGAAUUUAGUUUAGUUUGGUAACUUGUGAAGUGACUUGAUAAUGUUUAGGGGUAGGUACUUGAAAUGUGAACUUUUCAUUUUGAAUUAAGUCUACUUUGGUAACUUGUGAAGUGAAUUAGUGACUUAGAAAUAUGUAGGUAUUUGAAAUGUGAACUUUUCAUUUUGAAUUUAGUUUACGUUGGUAACUUGAAAAUGUUUAGGUACUUGAAUUAUGGAUUAAUGACUUUUGUUUUGAAUUUAGGUACUUGAAAUGUGAACUUGCGUUUUGAUUUUAGUAAAUUGUGGUCACUUGACAAGUGAACUAGUUACUUCAAAAUGUUUAAGUGUAGGUACUUUAAACGUGAACUUUUUCUUUUGAAUUUAGUUUAGUUCGAUAACUUUUGAAGUGAAUUAGAGACUUGAAAGGUGUAGGUAUUUAAAAUGUGAACUUUUGUGACUUGGAACUAAUUAUUUGAAUGUGAUUGAUUAUGUAGAUGGAACCUAAUUACAGUUGGAUAGAUCAACACAAAAUAUUGAUAGUAGAAUGGGUGAGGCUGAGAAUGAAGAUGUGGAUUUGUUGUUUUUAGUCUUUUGUAUGUUUUAUAGUUUGGAUUUGUAACCUCAAUAAAUUUUAUAAAUAAUUUGAUUUUUAAUGUUUGUAUUCUUAUGGUGGUUGGUUGAUUGUAUAUUAAAUGAUUGGUGGGCUAUAUUGUAAAUAAUUUGAUUUGAUUUUUAAUGUUUGUAAAUGAUGGGUGGGCUGUAUUGUAAAUAAUUUGAUUUUUAAUAUUUGUAUUUUAAAAAUUUUCAGUAUUUUUUUUAUAAAAUUAUCCAAAAAACCCACCACAUGUGGUAGGUUUUUUUAAAAUUUUUUACAAAAAACUACCACAUGUGGUCGUUUUUAAAUUACAUUAAUAAAUUAAUUUAAUUAAAAACCGACUACAUGUGGUCAGUUUUUAAUUAAAAUUAAUUUAAUAAAAAACUGACCACUUGUGGUUGGUUUUUUUCUCUAAAAUUAUUUUUUCAAUUUUAAUAAAAUAAUAAUAAAUUUUAAAAAUAAAUAUAUAUUUUUAAAAAAACCGACCACAUGUAGUCAGUUUUUAAAAAGCUACCAUUAGUUUUCCAACCACAAAUUUUGAUCGAUUUUGUGAUCGGAAAUUGGGGAAAACCGAUCACUUGUGGUCGGUUUGUGUGGUCAGUUUUUCCUUCUUCUUUUUUUUUUUUAGUAGUGGUAGUUUAUUCAACUAAUUUUCAUUCAAUUUAAUAGAGACUGUUUGUUAAACUUUGUUUUUGGGGUCCAAAAAUUCAUGGCUAGCCUCUCUUCGGGCUAUUUGGUGAACUUCAAUGUAAAAAUAAUUUCACAUCUUUCCAAAACUAGAUUUAAGUUUCUGAAAUGUUUGAAUACUGAAUUUGAAAAUCCUCAAGAAAAUACUCCAUCAGUUCAGCUUUCGUAUUAUAACAAAUCCAUAUUCAUGAGAUGUUUAAACUAAAAAGGUUCUACUAUAUCCUCAUAUGUCCUUACCGUCAAAUAUGUUUUUAUUUCAAACAGUUUCCCCACUUAUAUUCCGUUUAUCCAAGCUUAUUUUUUCUCAAAAGCGUUUAUUUUAAAAAAUUGAGGUGUUUAACCAAGCUUUUGGAAGAAAAUAAGUACUUCUAGAGAGUAGCAGCAACAAUUUUUCAUAAGCUAAAAAAAGUAACUUCUCCCCAAAGAACUUUUACGAAAAAUAUUUUGAGAAAAAUACACGUAAGAGCACUUUUAAUGUUUGGCUAAACACUAAUUUCUACUUAAAAGUGUCUUUUUGAAAACUUAUUGCCCAAACAAGAACCGUUUCUCACCAAAAGUAUUUUUUUGAAAGCACUUUUAAAAAUAAUUUAAUUUAAAAAUUUUAUUUCUAUAUAAUUUAAAAAUAAGCUUGGCCAAAUAGGCUAUUAAUAUAAUUAUGUGAGUAAUUAGUGAAUUAGCGUUUGAUCUUGAUACAUGUUUAAAAAGAAAUUUUGAUCUUGAGUUCUUUUAAUGAUCCUCUCUCCACACACAUUAUUUAAAAAUUAGAAAAGAAACCUAAAUGGACACAUAUUAUAUAGAGAUAAAUUUUAUUUCUAUGUAUUCUCAAACAUCCAAUGAUAUGAUCAAUCAAUCAACUUCAAUAAUAAUCACUUGUAUUCUAUUAUUUUGCUUAACAAACAAUUUGGCAGGCGCAAAGGCUUUGAUUGCUUCCUGCAGCAGCACAUGUACAAUUCUGAGGCAUCUUACUCGCCGGCCAUUGAAAUAGAGCUAGAUUUCCACAACCAAUGUUCGCACACGUGUCUUUAGCCGUAAAUGUUCCCGGACAAAAUUGAGCAUCAACUGAUACAAAAUAUUAAGAAGACUAAGCAUUAGUCAAUGGGAUUAAAAAGCUCAAUGAUGAAAAUAGAUAUUCGAAUACAUAAUUGUUGAUAAAAUAAUAACAGAUGUGCACUGAAGAAAAAAAUCUUACCUAGUGAAUGUUCAAACAAAGUGAAACAUAUCGCCAUAGAGAAAAAGAAA